rnacentral:lncRNA from 1 species
AUGCCACCGAGGGGAUCCCGUGGGGUGUCUCCCGGCGCGGACCAGGGUGACAGACCCGCUCUCCACUCCCUCCGGCGCCAGGUGGGGGCCACGCGGUGUCAAACCCGGGCAGCUUGCAGGGGCCGCCCCCCGCGCGACCGGAGCCCGCCCUCCCCUCCCCGUUACCUGCGGGCGGCGGCGCCGGGCCCGGAGGCCUGCUGCUCCUCCUCCUUCUCCCGCCAGGCUGGGGCGGCGAGGCGGCGGCGGCGGCGGCGGCCCGGGGGGAGGGGGCGGAGCGCGCGGCUCGCUGCCUCUCUCCUCCCCCGGGAGGCUCAGGGGCCCCUAUCUCGGGCCGCCGCGCCUAGGCCCGUGAGCAGCCUGUGGUUGGGGCAUGGCGGCACAGCCCACCGGCGUGCCCGCGAGACAGCUGUGCUCCUGAUUCUCAGGCCUCAGGACCCAGAUCAGGAUUUCCAUCAGCUCCCCUGGCUCGCAGGCCUUCUGACUUCUGACUCACCAUGGGCUCUCCUGGAUCCAGCUUCAUGAUGGCAGAUCGUGGGACUUCUUGGCCUCCGUAAUCACAUGAAACAAUGCCCACAAGAGAAAAUAAAAGCAGUCAGAGAAGAUUUUGAAAACUCUUUAUCUCCACGGCCUUUCCCCUGUUCCCCAGCAUGUGGAGCCGCGGACUCUGCCUUCCGCCCAUCACGAUGGUGCAGAACCUCAUAUCCCAGCGUUUGUUACCACAGACUUCCCCUUUCUGUCCUGCUAGCAGAGGCCACGCUGCCACUCCGCGUCGGACCCCUUCUCCUCUCGCUUCCUCAGUGGCACUGUUGGAGCUACCCUCCCCUCUCCUGCAUUAUCAUUUCUUACUUUUCUCUCGGAUCAUUUCAAUCGGCAUAAAACAACUUGUAAUUUCACCCUUCUGAAAACAAAAUCCUUUUUUGACCCAUUUCCCUCGUCUACUAGCGUCUCAUUUCUUUGUUCCCCCAACUCUUUACAACAAAACUUCAUGAAAGAUUUGUCUAUGUUGUUUUCAAUUUUUCUUUUUCAAUUAUGGUUUUUUUUGGUUAGAGAGUCACUAAAAAAAUUUUUUUUUCUUUUUCAAUUCUGUGGUUUUUUUUUUUUUUUUUUUUUUUGCCGCGGGGGCGGGGGGGUCUCACUAUGCUGCCCAUUGUGGUCUCGAACUCUCGGGCUCAAGCAAUCCUUCUGCCGUGGCCUUGCAAAGUGCUGGAAUUACAGGAGUGAGCUACCAUGCCCAGCCAAUUUAUUGUGGUUAAGUAUAUAUAAUAUAAUUUACCGUUUUAACUGUUUUCAAGUACACAAUUUAGGGGCACGAAUUGCUUUCACAAUGUUGUUCAACCAUCAACACUGUCCACUUCUAGAAUUUUUCAUCAUUCCAAACAGAAACUGCAUACCCCUUAACCAAUAGCUUCCAUUCUCCCCUGCCCCCCAGCCCCUAGUAGCACCAUUCUACUUUCGGUCUCUGAAUUCGACUAUGCGGGGUGCCUCUGUAAGUGGAAUCAUGCAAUAUUUAUUCUUUUGUGUCUAGCUUCUUUCACACAGCAUACUGUUUUAAAGGUUUGUCUAUUUGGUGGUAUGAGGCAGAAUUUCAUUCCUUUUCAUGGCCGAAUAAUAUUCCAUUGUAUGCAUAUAGUACUUUGUAUUUAUCCAUUUUCCUUCUUUUUUUUUUUUUUUUUUCUGAGACAAAGUCUUGUUCUGUCGCCAGGCCAGAGUACGGUGGCACAAUCUCGGCUCACUGCAACCUCCGCCUCCUGGGUUCAAGCGAUUCUCUUGCCUCAGCCUCCCAAGUAGCUGGGACUAAUUUUUGUAUUUUUGUAGAGACGGGGUUUCACCAUGCUGGCCAGGAUGGUCUCGAUCUCAACCUUGUGAUCCGCCUGCCUCAGCCUCCCAAAGUGCUGGGAUUACAGGUGUGAGCCACUGCGCCUGGCCCCAUUUUCUUGUUGAUGGACACUUGGGUUGUUUCCAUAUUGGGACUAUUGUGAAUACUGCUGCCAUGAACAUAUGCAUACAAGUAUCUGUUGAGUCAUUUCUCUUAAGUUCACUACAGUCAGGCUUUCACUCUCACUGGUCAACACAAAUUGUUCUUGUCAAGGUCAUCAGUGACCUCUGAGUUGCUGCAGCCAAUUAUCAAUUCUUCAUUCUCAUCUUAUGUAGCAGUGCCAUUUGCAUUGGUCAUUGCCUCCUCCUUGAAGUCUUUUCUUCAGUUGACCUCCAGGACACCACCACACACUCCGAAUUACCUUUCCACCUCACUCGCCACUAUCCCUUAGCCUUCUUUAUUAAUCAUGCUUACUGCCCCCCUACAGUCUUUGGAACUAUUCUCUUUUCUGUCUGCACUUUCUCCCCUAGUAAUAUCUUCCAAUCUUAAGGUGACGCCGACUAUUUACCUGGCAUGUCCAUUGGAUAGCAAGUAAGCAUCUUACAUUUAACAUGUCCCAGACUAAAUUCCUGAUCAUCCAUAUCCUCCCCAUCAAAAUAUACUUUCAGUCUUUCUAAACUAAUCCAAUGGGAUCCUUCUAGAUGCUUAGGCACAAGUCCUGGAAUCAUCUUUUAUUCCUCAAUUUCUCUCCCAUCUCAUGUUCAGUCUAUUAACAAAUGCUGUUGGCGCCUUCUUUAAAAUAUUUACAGAAUCUGCCAUGUGGGGCGGUACACACCUAUAGUCCCAGCUUCCAUCUACUCAGGCAGCAGAGGUGGGAGAGUCGCUUGAGUCCAGGAGUUUGAGUCCAGCCUGGACAACAUAGCAAGACCCUAUCUUGAACACAUACACACACACACACACACACACACACUUUGAUCAUUUUUCUCCGUCUUUACCACUACUGCCUUGAUGCAAAUCAUCAGCAUCUCUUGCCUGGAUUUUUUCCAUAAUCUCCUAACUAGUCUCCCUGAGUCUUCUUUCGCCUCUCUCCAGUUAAUACUCAAUACAUCAGCAAAAUCUUGCCAUUAAAAUGUAAGUUUCUCAUGUUGUUGUUGUGAUUCAAGAAGCGGUGAAAGGCCGAUUGCAAAGCAGUGAGACACUUAUUGGGGUCUUAGGAAUUGUGAUUCAGGAGAAACAGAUGUGGUCAAAGGCCAAAUUGUGUUCUGAAAAAGAAAGGGGAGUAGUAAUUUUUAAAAAGAUGCCGAGGGUGAUUA